rnacentral:lncRNA from 1 species
UUUAUUGAGAGGGUUUUGCCGUGGGCAUGGAGGUAGGGCCGUACCCGUAGGGGAGGAAGGAUGAGAUCUGAGAGGAAGGCAGGCUUUUGUCCGUUCGAAUUUCUGGUGCCGACUGCCGGCCCGAUGUGGAUAAGCAACGGGAGGGAGAGGGAGAAGCUGUAGAUUAGCAACGGCAGGGAGAGGACGGCGCCUGCCGACGGCGACGGGGCCUUUGAUGGAGCAGCGGACCUCGUUGACGGCGCAAAGGAAGCACUCGAGCGGUCCCCGCCAUCGAAGAGCAUCC